UCCGGUUUGGCACCGGCAGUCUCCCUAGAGUUCCCGGCAUGACCCGCUGGCAACUAACGCCGAGGGUUGCGCUCGUUGCGGGACUUAACCCAACACCUCACGGCACGAGCUGACGACAGUCAUGCAGCAUCUGUGGCGGUUCUCGACUUUACGAGUCGUUCCCCUUUCGGGGUUCUACUUCCGUCAUGUCAAGCCUAGGUAAGGUUCUUCGCGUUGCAUCGAAUUAAACCACACGCUCCGCUGCUUGUGCGGGCCCCCGUCAAUUCCUUUGAGUUUUAGCCUUGCGGCCGUAGUCCCCAGGCGGAGUACUUAUCGCGUUAGCUGCGGCACCGAGGGGGUCGAUACCCCCGACACCUAGUACUCAUCGUUUACAGCGUGGACUAC
rnacentral:misc_RNA from 1 species